rnacentral:piRNA from 1 species
CUUUCAAUGUUUAGGCAGAUCGU